rnacentral:rRNA from 1 species
GAUGAACGCUAGCGGGAGGCCUAACACAUGCAAGCCGAGCGGUAUUGUUUCUUCGGAAAUGAGAGAGCGGCGUACGGGUGCGGAACACGUGUGCAACCUACCUUUAUCUGGAGGAUAGCCUUUCGAAAGGAAGAUUAAUACUCCAUAAUAUAUUGAUUGGCAUCAGUUGAUAUUGAAAGCUCCGGCGGAUAAAGAUGGGCACGCGCAAGAUUAGCUAGUUGGUGAGGUAACGGCUCACCAAGGCGAUGAUCUUUAGGGGGCCUGAGAGGUGAUCCCCCACACUGGUACUGAGACACGGACCAGACUCCUAACGGGAGGCAGCAGUGAGGAAUAUUGGUCAAUGGGUGCAAGCCUGAACCAGCCAUCCCGCGUGAAGGAUGACUGCCCUAUGGGUUGUAAACUUCUUUUGUAUAGGGAUAAACCUACUCUCGUGAGAGUAGCUGAAGGUACUAUACGAAUAAGCACCGGCUAACUCCGUGCCAGCAGCCGCGGUAAU